rnacentral:rRNA from 1 species
CCCUUAGAUGUUCUGGGCUGCACGCGCGCUACACUGACAUACUCAGCAAGUUUCCUUUCCCGAAAGGGUUGGGUAAUCUUGUUAGUGUAUGUCGUGAUAGGAAUUCCUAGUAAGCGCAAGUCAACAGCUUGCGCUGAUUACGUCCCUGCCCUUUGUACACACCGCCCGUCGCUCCUACCGAUUGGGUGAUCCGGUGAAUGGUUCGGACUCUGGCUAUGCUAGCUACUAGCUACGUCAGGGAAAGUUCUGUGAACCUUAUCACUUGGAGGAAGGAGAAGUCGUAACA